UCCUCAGCUAGGUGAAUCCUUAUAGAAUGCAGAUAAGAAAUGAUCGGAGUUCACAUGACAUGUGCUCAGCAUCUCUGUUUAGCCAGGACUCACAGCAUCUUCCUUGUUCUUUCUGGG
ensembl:snoRNA Gm24439 predicted gene, 24439